rnacentral:lncRNA from 1 species
UGCAAAGUUUAUUUUUUAAUUUCCAUUUAAUAGCUAAAGUUUUUAGAAUUGGUUGGAACCAUUGAACAUAUAUGAUCCAACUAAAAAGCUAUUUAAAAUAUCUUUUCAGGCUUCAAAUAAAUGAAUUCUAUUGACUUAUUAUGAUCACGCAACUGGCGUUGGAAAUUCAAAAUAUAUACUAAGGCUAUCUGAUCUUAUUAUGUAAUACUUUUUGAUAAAGUGCUGUCUAAAUAAAGCUAGAAAUGGUAAGAUAUUUUUGUAUUG